AGAGUUUGAUCCUGGCUCAGGACGAACGCUGGCGGCGUGCCUAACACAUGCAAGUCGAGCGAUGAAAUCCUUCGGGAUGGAUUAGCGGCGGACGGGUGAGUAACACGUGGGUAACCUGCCUCAAAGAGGGGAAUAGCCUUCCGAAAGGAAGAUUAAUACCGCAUAAUAUGUUUUGGUCGCAUGACUAGAACAUCAAAGGAGCAAUCCGCUUUGAGAUGGACCCGCGGCGCAUUAGCUAGUUGGUGAGGUAACGGCUCACCAAGGCGACGAUGCGUAGCCGACCUGAGAGGGUGAUCGGCCACAUUGGAACUGAGACACGGUCCAGACUCCUACGGGAGGCAGCAGUGAGGAAUAUUGGUCAAUGGGCGCAAGCCUGAACCAGCCAUCCCGCGUGAAGGAUGAAGGUCCUAUGGAUUGUAAACUUCUUUUAUACACCAAGAAAAACUCGAACGUGUUCGAGCCCGACGGUAGUGUAUGAAUAAGCAUCGGCUAACUCCGUGCCAGCAGCCGCGGUAAUA
rnacentral:rRNA from 1 species